GUCAGUUUGCCGGAGUGGUUAACGGGAUCGCCUGCUACUCCCCGACGUAGAUGAGCGGUUGUGCAUUGCACGCGAGUGUUCGAAUCGCUCAGCUGACG